UACGUAGGGGGCGAGCGUUAUCCGGAUUUAUUGGGCGUAAAGGGUGCGUAGGCGGUACGUUAAGUCUAAAAUCAAAGCCCGAGGCUUAACCUCGGUUCGUUUUAGAAACUGGCAAACUAGAGUGCAGUAGAGGCAAGUGGAAUUUCUAGUGCAGCGGUUAAAUGCGUAGAUAUUAGAAGGAACACCAGUGGCGAAGGCGGCUUGCUGGGCUGUAACUGACGCUGAGGCACGAAAGCGUGGGGAGCAAAUAGG
rnacentral:rRNA from 1 species